UUCCCUAUCAGGCCUAGGGCUGGGCAAUAUAUCGGUAUUACGACUACGACCGAUAUAUUUUUGAAAACGAUAUGUAGUUGAGACAAUAUCGUAAUACCGGUAUUAUGUCAAAUAAUGGGCCAUUUUAUCAAAGCCACUUGCUCUUCUGUGUUCAGACCAUUCAG